rnacentral:rRNA from 2 species
CUGUCGUCAGCUCGUGUUGUGAAAUGUUGGGUUAAGUCCCGCAACGAGCGCAACCCUUAUCCUUUGUUGCCAGCGGUCCGGCCGGGAACUCAAAGGAGACUGCCAGUGAUAAACUGGAGGAAGGUGGGGAUGACGUCAAGUCAUCAUGGCCCUUACGAGUAGGGCUACACACGUGCUACAAUGGCGCAUACAAAGAGAAGCGACCUCGCGAGAGCAAGCGGACCUCAUAAAGUGCGUCGUAGUCCGGAUUGGAGUCUGCAACUCGACUCCAUGAAGUCGGAAUCGCUAGUAAUCGUAGAUCAGAAUGCUACGGUGAAUACGUUCCCGGGCCUUGUACACACCGCCCGUCACACCAUGGGAGUGGGUUGCAAAAGAAGUAGGUAGCUUAACCUUCGGGAGGGCGCUUACCACUUUGUGAUUCAUGACUGGGGUGAAGUCGUAACAAGGUAACCGUAGGGGAACCUGCGGUUGGAUCACCUCCUUACCUUAAAGAA